CUUCACUUCACGCUAUUAAGGUGCUACCCAGGACGAGUUGCGUUACAACACCCAAACCUUAGUGGUUUAUAACAACAAAGGUUUAUUUCUCACUCGAGCUCUGUGUCUAUCAUGAGCUAGCUGGAGCCACUGCUCCUUAUCUUCUCAUUCUAGAACCCAGGCUGGCAAAGCAAUUGUCAUCACAAACAUUGCCAGUCGCCAUGGCAAAGGGAAAGAGCUCUGGGAAGCGUCUUCCACUUGCAAUUAAAUGCUUCAGCCCAGGCGCAGUACUUCCACUCAGGACUCAAGAACAGGAACAAGUUACAUGGCCCCACUCAACCACAAGAGGGCCAAAAAUUACAAUUCUUCCAUGUCCCAGAAAGGCAGAGAGCUGGAAGUAUUUGGUGAAUAGUAGGUAACCAUCCUAAACUAGCAGAGUUCACUGGUAUUCAGACAACUGGCCACAAGCAAACCCAGCCAAUCAGCGCUUGGCACACAGCACUCCAUUGCCAUUGUGCUGCACAUCUGAGAAGUAGGCUACUAGCUGAGGCAACUUCUUGAUGUAGCAACUAACUAUGAAUAGAGACAAAUCAUAGUAUGGUUGUACUUAUCACAAAGGAAUGUCUCCAAGCCGGAGAGAACAUGACAAGAGUAAACUUUGUAUCAGGUUCUGCAAAAAGACAAAAGGAAGUGGUAGCCUGCCUCCUCCCUGGCUUCACCCUAAGACCUCUGGAGGAUACCACUAUCCCCGGAAUGUCCUAGGAGUGGGAACUCAGAAGAAAAACAUCACAUCUGUUCUGGGUGUGCCAAAUUUGAGGAAACAUCAGAAUGUCUAUAGAAAGCUGGAUCCAGCAGGCAGGUAGUGAUGUACCUCAAACCAGAAGUGGGGCUUAGAGACACACAUGGGAAAGUCGUUUGCAUCGAGGUGAGAGCCAAACCAGGAAAAAUGAGGAAAAGAUCAAGGACAAAACUUUACCAAUGCUGUUGGACGUUGACAAAAGACCAGAAUGUCUGAGGACCAGGAGGGCGACAGUCUUGAAAGCUGAGAGAGGAGACUGCCUCCAGGAGGAGGGUUUGGAGGGGAGGAGGUCAAAUGGAGUUGGGCCCAGGGGAUGAAGAGGGUAUAUGCAGGCAUAGGGAAUAUAUGAGCCAAUGCCAGUGAUUCUGCUUAGACAUCACAGCCCUAGAAAGUCUCCCCUGACUUCCCCAAACUGCAUCCGCAGUCCCCAGUGCAGCGUGUCCUUCUCUCCUCCCCAUCCCUCCCUUCUGACUGUGGGCUUCUUGGUUCCUGGGACAGUGUUUUGUUCACUGUGUCCUCCCCAGUGCCUCGUCCAGUGCCUGACACUUGGAAGGCACAUUAUAAAUGUCUGCUUAACAAAUUAAGAGACAAAUGAAUAGAAAGAGAGCAUAUAUCCAGAAAUUAGUGAAGACUGAAGCUAAGGGAUCAAAUAGGGAAAAAAUAGAAAAUAAAGAAGCAAAGAUAGAUGCGAUUAGGUUUAAUUCAACAAAUAAUGUACUCAACCAUUCUGAGAAGGGUAGAGGGUGGAUACAGGAUGUCAAAAGACAAAGGUCUUGUUUUCAAGGUGCACAUAGCCCAGUGCACAGGCCACAUAUAACUCUAAUAUCACAGAGUGAGGGAAGCUCUAGAAGACAUGCACAAAGUGCUAUGGAGAUUUAAAGUUGAGAGAAAUGGAAAAACAACCUGGAUGAGAAGGCAUUUGAGAUGGGCAGUUGAAAAUAGGAAUGGGCUUCCCAGGUAGAUGAAACAGGAUUACAAAGGGCACCAGGCUGGGAAACCACGGGCUUCCCACACAUAGGAUGUCAGCAUCUAGAGUUGGGAGAAGUGAGAAUCACUGGUGAGUCAACAAGAGGAGAGGAAGUUCUCUUCACAGGAAUUAUUCUGUGUGAAUAUAAAAAUGUGAGCACAUGGGCUUGACUCAGACUGAAGACAGGGUCUCUGUGUGGUCACUGAGCUGCUGUCACCGAGGAACAAAGAUGCUCAAAAGAACAAAUGCAAACAGAAGGUGUCAAGAGGCACCUUCCUUCCCCUUCACACCCACUUGAGAAGACCUACACAAGGGAAGCAGAAAACCACUCUAUCGUUGACUUCCCUGGAGCCCUAAAAGAAAAACUUCUGGCUAAUAUUCUGUCAGACAGUCUGGAUGGAAAUUUUAGAAUUUAUAUUUCAAAAUUAGUGACUGUGAUUUAUUUGCCACAGUCACUUGUCAGUUUGGGACAUUGGCAAAGUACCCAGCCACUCGGAUUGGCCAGAGGACCUGUCCCUCUCAGAAGGGCCCCUAAAGUUCUUCUAGCCAAAUUCUGCAGGAGGCGAGGACCAAAGAUGCUGACGCUGUGGCUGCUUCAUGCCAGAAUUGAACUGUGGUGACCACAGCCAGGGAAGAGGAGCAGAGCUGGGGGCAGGAGCUCUGGGAGCCUCACCUGGAGGUGGAGGACACACACGCAGGCAGGCUCCUAGAGGGGGACAGGGGAACAAGUCCCAGCUCCCUGUCUCCUGGUAGUUCUGCCCUUCAGCAUCCCAGAAGGAAAAGGGCCUUCCAGUUUUCAGCAGUGCUUAUUAAUGUGAACCAAGGUGAACUUCCCCAAAUUUUCCUUGUAAAAUAAUCUUCGAUAGCUGUGAGAAGUGGCAGGAUCAAAAAGCGUCUGUACUUUCUCCAAAAACAGAUCAAAAUCCCUCCUCGAUCUAAAUAAAGUGACUUAACAAGUUUUCACUUAAUUCAGAGAGAGGAUUUGCAUCCAGUUCAACAAUCUACUGGCCAAAAAGGUACUUUAUGGAAACUAAGCAAAGUUAGGAACCUCUGAGCAAACUUGUUUCUAAUGGAAAUUACAAAGCAGCAAUGAUAUAAUUAUGAAGGAGAUUUUAUAAGAAAAAAUUUCUCCUAGCAUGUUUAGAGACACUUUAUGUUCUAUAACAUAGAACACUAGUACUGGGCUGAUUGGAAACCAAUGACAUGGUAUAUAAUAAUAAUAUGUUUCUUUUUCCUUGUAAAUCUAAGUAUUCACCUGGGCCCUUAUCUUGAUCUUUCCGGUUAAUCUGAUUUACAAGUCAUAAAAAUCCAAUGCCUUGUGCUCAGAGGUAGGUCAUAGUGGCCUCACCCAGGGGUGAGCACCAAAGGGAUGCAAUGAAAUAAAAACAUCAAGGAUCAAGCCCUGAGAAUAGCAGAGUGCACACCUGGAAACCAAAGCCUGAUGCCUUCUGUUGUACCAUCUCGAGUUGACCCCAAGUAAGUUCAAACUAAGGGAAACCAAAGAAAUUUCAUUUUCCAUAGGACACAGCAUCUCAGCCUUGGGAAGGGAAAGGACAGAGAAAAAUCAGAAAUUCUGAAAUCCCAAGUAAAAUGGCCAGUGUAUUGGGUGGGAAAAGUGCUGAAUGAGAAGUAACAUUUCCCAAAGUAUGGUACCCAAGGUCACUUUAAGGAAUACGCAAUGGAAUUUUUUUUUAAUUUGGAACAUUAAUAUGGGUAUGCUAAUGAAUAAAGACAAGUAAUACUGGCUUUUCUACUUACGAUAUUGAUAUAAAAUUUCCCUUUUGACUAUGUUUCAGUAAAACAGCAAGUUCAUUUAUAUAAAACUUUUAAUAAAUAAUAGCAUGGUUGGCCUUCAGCUAAUGGUGAAAUGGUGAUACUGAUACUGCAUCGUGAAGUCUGGGAAACACUGAGCAGAGACAGGUGUCCUGGGCCUGCUGGGCACUUCUUUCUGUCCCAGAGUGGGAAAAGGCUCAUUCAUUCAUUCAUUCAUUCAUUCGACUUUUAGUAAAUGUUUUUUGGGUCCCUGUCAUGUUCCAGACACUGUCCAAGGGCCCGGCAUCUGAUGGUGAACAAGACUUGGUCCUUGCCCUUGAGGAUCUACACAUUAGCAGGGAUGCAGACAAUUAAAGAGACAGGGACCAUAUGCCAUGGUGAGCAAACAGAAGGUCAUUCCCAAAUGCACACAGCAGUGCUGGGAUUCAACUCAGAUCUUCCUGGUGCUAAAUCCUGAGCACAUUCACUAAGUCAUGUUGCCUCACUGGAGCAGAUGUUGGAAGAGCAAGGGAGAGAGAAGGGAAGUGGAAGGAAAGUGUAGAGCAAAGAAGGGAGAAGAGGCAACUAGGAUGAAGAAGUAAGGGGAUGGAUGACAAGAUAGAGAAACAAGUGAGGGAGGAG
ensembl:lncRNA